rnacentral:rRNA from 1 species
UACGGGGGGGGUAAGCGUUGUUCGGAAUCACUGGGCGUAAAGGGAGCGUAGGCGGGUUUCUAAGUCAGGUGUUUAAUCCCGGGGCCCAACCCCGGACAGGCACUUGAAACUGGGAAUCUUGAAUAGGGGAGAGGUCAGUGGAAUUGGAGGUGUAGCGGUGGAAUGCGUAGAGAUCUCCAAGAACACCAGUUGCGAAGGCGGCUGACUGGACCCAUAUUGACGCUGAGGCUCGAAAGCAUGGGGAGCAAACAGG